rnacentral:tRNA from 2 species
GCGACCGUAGCCAAGCGGAAAGGCAUCAGGUUUCCACCCUGACAUGCGCGGGUUCGAUCCCCGCCGGUCGCUCCA